AGCAUAGCGAUUUGGGAUAAGUCCCUUGGAAAAGGGCAGCAUGGAGGGUGAUACUCCCGUCUCUGCUCAGAUUGUCUGUGUGUACGAUACGCUUUCUUUGAGUCGAGUUGUUUGGGAAUACAGCUCAUAGUAGGUGGUAAAUUCCAUCUAAAGCUAAAUAUUGGUGCGAGACCGAUAGCGAACAAGUACCGUGAGGGAAAGAUGAAAAGAACUUUGAAAAGAGAGUUAAAGAGUACCUGAAACUGUUGAAAGGGAACCGUAUCGUUUCCAGUGUUGUAUCCUGUGCAUAUUUCAUUAGCGGAGUAAUUUGCUGGUGCCCUGUGCAUGGGUGUGACGUCAGAGUCAGUUUGUAUGCUGCGGGAGAUGGACAGUAAGGAGGUGCGUCACUUCGGUGAAAGUUAUACCUUGCUGUCUAGUAGCCGUGGUUGAGACUGAGGUGCC
rnacentral:rRNA from 2 species